AUACUGCAAGGAGUCUAAUUUGUAGGGCAUUUGGAUAAAAUGAAAUGUAAUUCAUCGUGCAUUACACAUCAUGUGCAUUUGUGAUGCAGGUUGAGGAUUGCAAUUAUUCCCCAUAAAUGAGGAAUUCCCAGUAAGUGUGGGGCAUAAACUCACUUCGAUUAAGUCCCUGU
rfam:Gavia stellata contig955, whole genome shotgun sequence.